UUUCCUCAGAUCCUUUGUGCGCUGUUACCAGACAAUUCCCGGUGCGUUUGUGGCCCUGCUCUCUUCUGCUGCCUUCCUGUGGUAGGUUGUAAUCGCUAGAUCUUCACAUCUUUUGCCCUGCAGGUUCUAGCUCGCUGGAGGCUGCGGGUGUGGGCUCUGUGGUGUGCGCAGGCAAGGCUGAAAGAGGUUCUGCAGCGCUCCUGGAUCUAAUUUAUGAUACCAACCCAGAGAGGACGGGGCCAGACUCUUCUCUGUGGUGCCCAGCGACAGGACAAGAGGCAACAGGCAUAAACCGAACCACAGGCAGUUCCGUCUGAACAUGAGGUAAAACCCCUUUCCUGGGAGGGUGACGGAGCACCGGAGCAGGCUGCCCAGAGAGGUUGUGGGGUCUCCUUCCCUGCAGAUAUUCAAAACCUGCCUGGACACGAGCCUGGGCAAUGUGCUCUAGGUGACCCUGCUUGAGCAGGGGGGUUGGACUAGAUGAUCUCCAGAGCUCCCUGCCAACCGCAACCCUUCUGUGAUUCUGUAAUUGUAAGUACUCC
rnacentral:lncRNA from 1 species